rnacentral:rRNA from 1 species
CGCCUGCCCUGUGACAAAUGUUUAACGGCCGCGGUACCCUAACCGUGCAAAGGUAGCGCAAUCACUUGUCUUUUAAAUGAAGACCUGUAUGAAUGGCAUGACGAGGGCUUAACUGUCUCCUUUUUCUAAUCAAUGAAAUUGAUCUUCCCGUGCAGAAGCGGGAAUAUAGCCAUAAGACGAGAAGACCCUAUGGAGCUUUAGACACAAGACAGAUCUUGUUAAACACUUCAAAAAAGAAACGAACUAAAAGGACUCUGUCCUUUUGUCUUUGGUUGGGGCGACCACGGGAAGACAAAUAACCCCCACGCGGACUGGAAAAACAGUUCUCAAAACCAAGAGCUACAGCUCUAGUUAACAGAAAUUCUGACCUUAAGAUCCGGCACUGCCGAUCAACGGACCGAGUUACCCUAGGGAUAACAGCGCAAUCCCCUUUUAGAGUUCAUAUCGACAAGGGGGUUUACGACCUCGAUGUUGGAUCAGGACAUCCUAAUGGUGCAGCAGCUAUUAAGGGUUCGUUUGUUCAACGAUUAAAGUCCU